rnacentral:lncRNA from 1 species
GCUGAAUUGCCAGGCCAUGCUGGUUAUGGUUCAACCUCAUAUGCAGUUCAAACAUCUCGUGCAAGGUCAUUUCAGAAACCGGGCUCACCAAAUACUUCAGAUUUAUAAAGCUGAGAUGAAGCCUGAUGACGAUGAAGAAAUGAACCAAUUAUUCAUCAAACUUUUGAAUGCAUUUGAAGAUAAUGGAGCAUAUUGUGGUCAUUAUUAUCCCAAGGCAUUAAAAGAAAGAAGAUCCAUCACCAACCACAGAUAAGAAAGCUCUUUACUCGAAGAGGAGAGAGCUCGUAGUGCUGGUUAUACACAGAAACUAAUUGAUGGAGUGCAAAUUAAGCAUCUGCUGGAAUCAUUGCGCUGAAAUUAGAUGGUUACUAUUUACUAAGCUAUACAACAAUUUAGUUUUAGUUAGGUCAGCUUUAUCUUUGGCUUUAGGAUGUCCUUUAGCAGGUAUCUUUUACUCAAAUCAUAUUUAGUGCAGUCUAUGCUUUGAUAAGUUCUACUUGUUUGAAACUCUACUAGCUUCAGAGAAUCAAAUCUUUCUUUUCACUCAUCCAACCAAAACUAAAACUUCCAACAAAUUACACUAUCGUGCCUGCUUUAUUCAACUAUUCUCUAAACCUGGAUAACUUUGAUUUGAAGAAUUAAGGGAGCAUUUGGGAUUGAAGUGUUGUAGCUUUUAAGCUGCAGCUGCUGUGGAAAAAAAACUAUAAUUAUUAAACAAAAGUUAGUAAUAUCUAGUAAAUAUAAAAUUUAAAUAAUAAUUUUGACAAAAUUAUUAAAGAUAUAAAAGUUUUCCAUGAUCCAAGUGAAAAACCAAAUUAACAUAGCUUCCAAGCUAUAACAAUUAGUGUUUACCAAAUACUUUAGUGCUGUAACUUCCAAACGCACCCUAACUAGUGUUACAAAAUUUAUAUUUGAGGUAAGGGACUCAAAAAGGAAAUUAUGCAUGCCCAUUGCCCAAUGUUUGUUUUAGAGAUGCAUGAACUUCAAAAUUUUAUUUUAUGAUAAAAAAAUGUAGACUAGUUCUCUAGAUAUAUUGUUAAUCUAACGACUAUCGAAUUAUAGGCUAUUCUACAAAAGGCAAGUCAUUAAGUUCUUUACCAAGAUAUUUGUAUGUUUUGACUCAAAACACAUUCACAUACCUAAAAUCAAUGACAUCAGAUUUCAAAGAUUUUGUUGUGGGGCAUUUCCUAAUGCAGCUCCCAAAGCUCCUACAAGAACAAAUCUGGGAGGCCAAUUAUUCCUUAAGACUCAAAAGCUUCAUAAGAGGCAGGACCUGCUUACAAACAUUGUAAACAUGGUGUCAAAGAAGAUCAUAGGAUUAUCAAGAGCUAGAUAGUAACAGUAGUAUUGUGAAUAUUUAUCUCCCCUCAUCAGUAAUUUACACUCAUUUUUCCCUGAACUAUAUAGUUUAAGAUUGUUUACAUGACAAUUUAAACACAAAACACAGAAAGUGAUGAAAUUAAGAAGCCAAGGCAUGCCCAAGGAGCACUGUCCUUAAAGAGCAGAUUCUGCCCCUUCUCAGAUGAUUUCCAGGUGUGUAAAAAGAAUUGAAAACAGUCUAAUCUUCCGGGAUUCAGAGUCCACUCCAAACUACAGUUGCUCCAAAACAGCUAGUUUAUUUAUUUUCUGACAAAGUGUAAGAGCUUUGAUGAAGGAGAGGAGGAAGAAAAGUAGUCUUUCUCAUUUCUCAAAUCAGUGACAGCAGCCAUAUAUCCCUGAAUUGCAACAGCCAUAUCCUUAAUUAAAGUCAGGAGAUAAGGGGGAAAAAAAUUCAGUGCGCAACACUGAUUGUAAAAACUGAUAUCAAGCAACUGCAGUGCUAAACUGCUAAUAUCAAGCAACUGCUGCUGAUCUGUAGAUAUGCGGCUUGACUGAUUCAAAUCAGUUCAACUAACUGAUUUUCUUAAUCCAAUAUUUAUACUUUUCGUCAAAGAGGCAAAGAACUGGGGCAAGCCCGUAUGCAUAUGUGCGAAGCCAAUAUGGUUUUAUCAAUUUGGAAUAAUGUGAGUAUUUUGAAAUACCUCACAAAUUCACAAUAAUAAUCUGCUUUUCCUAAAAGAGGUAAUAUUAUUUACUUACCCCAGAAAGGGUAAAUUGCUAAUCCUCUUAAGCGUUCAGAUGUUGAACCAAGGAGAAGUAAGAGGAAGAGAACGGCCACUAUUUUGAUGAAGACUAUUACCCUUUACUUGCUGAAAAUGAUCCUCAGACUUUCAAAGAAGCAAUGGCUUCUUGUGAUACACCUCUGUGGAUAAAGGCAAAUAACAGCGAGUUAGAUUCCAUCACGAGCAAUCAUGUACUGGAGUUAAUUGAAUUGCCUCCAGGUACUAAACCUAUAAGGUGCAAAUAGAUUUUUUAAAGAAAAAUGAAAGAUGAUGGAUCAAUUGAUAAAUAUAAGACAAGGUUAGUUGCCAAAGGGUUCCUACAAAAGAAAGACAUAAAUUAUUUUGAUACAUAUGCGCCUGUAUUGGGGACUGCAUUCAUUAGAGUUUGAUUGCAAUAACUGCAAUUCAUAACUUACAUGUUCAUCAAAUAGAUAUCAAAACUGUUUUUCUAAAUGGAGACUUAGAUGAAAAAAUCUACAUGAGUCAACCUGAGGGUGUGUAGUACCAAGCACUGAGCAUAAGGUAUAUAAACUGGUUAAGUCAUUAUGUGGCUUAAAAUAGGCACCAAAAUAACGACAUAAGAAAUUUGAUCAAGUAUUAAUAUCAAAAGGACACGCGAUUAAUGACUCAGACGAAUAUAUCUAUUUUAAAUCAGUUGAUGUUACCUGAUUAUUUCCCUCUGUGUUGAUGACAUGCUUAUCCUAAGUCUCAAUUUGGGAACCAUAAAUGAGACCAAAAGGAUGCUUUCGUCUAACUUUUGAUUUGAAGGAUAUAGGAGAAGAAGACGUUAUAUUAGGAGAAGAAGAUGUAACAUUAGGCAUCAAAAUCAUUAAGAUUAAAAUGUUGAAGAGGUUUGGGUGUUAUGAUGAAAAUUGGUCGUAACUGGCCACAACAAUCCGGCAGCAAAACAAGCAAGAUCAUCUUCCAAAAAAUUAAUCAUUUCAUUCGAAUCAAACAUGAAAGAUUUUACUGCAUACUAAAUAAAUGUGCGAAACAGAGGAUUUAAAAUUAAAAAAAUGUGUACCGAGUAAUUAAUUCUGAAAAGUCUCCAUCUUUCUCCCUCAAUCGGUCUCCUCAUCUCAGGCUCAGCUGCAUUUUACGCACUAUUAUUGAUGCAGUGAUACACAAACACAAAAAUUGAAAAAGGAAAACAAUAAAGAGAAGAAGAAAGGUCGAAACUUGAAAUCGUAAAAGAAAAGACACAUCACGAGUUUGUGCGUGAAUCUAACACUGACGGCAAAAAUUUGUUACUAACAAAAAAUGGGGGAACGAGAUUAAAAGAAGCGGUUAUUUUAUUAAAUUCACGCACAAACCCGAAACAUGCCUCUCCUUGAAUUCGAUACCCAGCUAAGCUCAUGCUGCUACGAAGAACACUACAGAACAGAGAUGGAGAAAGAAAACGGAAAUGAUAAGGCAUAAAUUUUUAAAAGAGAUUAUAUAUGACCAACUAUAAGAAGGUUUAUUUACGACUGCUCGGUUAAAAGUCGUUUGAGAUUCAGAAUCGAAUACGAGAUAGAAUUAGAUUACCCCUAAUUUACGUGGCUAAGAUGUGACGUCGAUGCAUCACGUGUGAUGUACGAUUGCCUCAGAGAUUUCAGGAUCAGCUGCCUGCCUAUCAGCAACCGAAACCACUCAGACCCCGUUUUGGACGAGGUACAUACAGUUAAAAUGGUAUUUUUACUGACCUUUGUUCAGUUGCAAUCGAUCCUCCUCCACUCAUUCCC